rnacentral:rRNA from 1 species
AUUGAACGCUGGCGGUAGGCCUAACACAUGCAAGUCGAACGAGUGGCGGACGGGUGAGUAAUGUCUGGGAAUCUGCCCGAUGGAGGGGGAUAACUACUGGAAACGGUAGCUAAUACCGCAUACCAUCGGAUGUGCCCAGAUGGGUUUAGCUAGUAGGUAUGGUAAUGGCUCACCUAGGCGACGAUCCCUAGCUGGUCUGAGAGGAUGACCAGCCGCACAAGGACUGAAACACGGUCCGGACUCAUACGGAGGGCAGCAGUGGGGAAUAGUGCACAAUGGGCGCAAGCCUGAUGCAGCCAUGCCGCGUGUAUGAAGAAGGCCUUAGGGUAGUAAAGUACUUUCAGCGAGGAGGCGUUACUGGCAGAAGAAGCACCGGCUAACUACGUGCCAGCAGCCGCGGUAAUUC